UACGUAGGGGGCUAGCGUUGUCCGGAAUCAUUGGGCGUAAAGGCGCGUAGGCGGCCGUGCAAGUGGAAGGUGAAAUCCCUCGGCUCAACCGAGGAACUGCCUUUCAAACUGCAUGGCUUGAGUCCGGGAGAGGUGAGUGGAAUUCCCAGUGUAGCGGUGAAAUGCGUAGAUAUUGGGAGGAACACCAGUGGCGAAGGCGGCUCACUGGACCGGAACUGACGCUGAGGCGCGAAAGCGUGGGGAGCAAACGGG
rnacentral:rRNA from 1 species